ensembl:lncRNA
GUGAGUGUGGUGUCCCCGGGUGGUGUCCCCGGGUGGUGUCCCCUGGUGGUGUGGUGUCACCUAGGGCUGGGCCAUUUCGAUUUCAGCGUGUAACGAUCACCAAACUAAUAUAAUCGAGUUGAAACAAUAUUAUUAUUAUUUUCUUUCUUUAUAGAAAUUGCAGAACAGCUUGAUCCAUAUCUGGACAUAGAAGUUUCAAAGUUCUCAUUUACAAAGUGUUUCUUUUUAAAGAGAAAUGAUGAAUAAAUGCAUCAUGUUUUCAACCUGAAAAAUAAUCGUUUGAAUAAUCGAGAUUUCAAUGUUGACCAAAAUCAUCAUGAUUCUGAUUCUUCCCAUAAUGGAGCUGCCCUGGUGUCCUGUGUGGUGUGAGGACCCCCUGAUGUGUGUGUGUCCCGUGUGGUGUGAGGACCCCCUGAUGUGUGUGUGUCCUGUGUGGUGUGAGGACCCCCUGACGUGUGUGUGUCCCGUGUGGUGUGAGGACCCCCUGAUGUGUGUGUGUCCCGUGUGGUGUGAGGACCCCCUGAUGUGUGUGUGUCCCGUGUGGUGUGAGGACCCCCUGAUGUGUGUGUGUGUGUGUGACCCCCUGACGUGUGUGUGUCCCGUGUGGUGUGAGGACCCCCUGAUGUGUGUGUCUCCCGUGUGGUGUGAGGACCUCCUGAUGUGUGUGUGUCCCGUGUGGUGUGAGGACCCCCUGACGUGUGUGUGUCCCGUGUGCGUCUGCAGAUCAGAGCCACCCUGGGUCUGCACGUCCUGAGCGCCCUGGUGGCUCUGGCCGCCAUGGUCUACGUGCCCUGGCUGCUGGCCACCCAGACCUGGAAGACCCAGAUCUGCCCUGAGGUCGGCCCCAAUGACAUGUGUCGGAGCAUGCUUUGGUCCAUGCUAACUGUUCUGAAUGGCGUGUGGAUCUUGACUCUGGUCCUGGCCGUGGUUGAGUUCUCCGUGGCCGUGUCUCUCUGCGUGUUCUCCGGCCGAGCUCUGAGGAGCAGCAAGCCCUACCAGGUGGAGGUGGCGACGGGCGACUACUCCCCCAAGUCUGAGAGUGACGUGAGCUUAUUGGGCCCUGAUGGGAUGGACCCUCCGAGCGCCUGAGCCUCCGGGACCCCCCCCCCCCUCACUGAGGCUUCAGCACUGUAGUCGCAUAACCGCAGCCAUGUUCCCUAGCCAUGAUUUCACAGGGGCGUGUGUAUUACAGACACUACAGUAACGGCCUCUACGGUAAUCAAUGUAGCAGUUUGUCUGUUUCUCUCUCUCUCACUUCUCUCUCUGCCACCCUGUCUGCCUUCCUCUUAAAAUAAGAAAGUUACAAGUGAUUGCAUUCUAUAUUAUCCAAUAAAAAGUUUAUUACAAUUA